rnacentral:tRNA from 1 species
AAUGGAUUAAUCCCUCCUGAGA